rnacentral:rRNA from 1 species
GAUGAACGCUGGCGGCGUGCCUAAUACAUGCAAGUCGAGCGAACAGACGAGGAGCUUGCUCCUCUGACGUUAGCGGCGGACGGGUGAGUAACACGUGGAUAACCUACCUAUAAGACUGGGAUAACUUCGGGAAACCGGAGCUAAUACCGGAUAAUAUAUUGAACCGCAUGGUUCAAUAGUGAAAGACGGUUUUGCUGUCACUUAUAGAUGGAUCCGCGCCGCAUUAGCUAGUUGGUAAGGUAACGGCUUACCAAGGCAACGAUGCGUAGCCGACCUGAGAGGGUGAUCGGCCACACUGGAACUGAGACGCGGUCCAGACUCCUACGGGAGGCAGCAGUAGGGAAUCUUCCGCAAUGGGCGAAAGCCUGACGGAGCAACGCCGCGUGAGUGAUGAAGGUCUUCGGAUCGUAAAACUCUGUUAUUAGGGAGGAACAAAUGUGUAAGUAACUAUGCACGUCUUGACGGUACCUAAUCAGAAAGCCACGGCUAACUACGUG